rnacentral:rRNA from 1 species
UACGUAGGGUCCGAGCGUUGUCCGGAAUUAUUGGGCGUAAAGAGCUCGUAGGCGGUCUGUCGCGUCGAAUGUGAAAACCCGGGGCUCAACUCCGGGCUUGCAUUCGAUACGGGCAGACUAGAGUUCGGUAGGGGAGACUGGAAUUCCUGGUGUAGCGGUGAAAUGCGCAGAUAUCAGGAGGAACACCGGUGGCGAAGGCGGGACUCUGGGCCGAUACUGACGCUGAGGAGCGAAAGCGUGGGUAGCAAACAGG